GACGAACGCUGGCGGCGUGCCUAACACAUGCAAGUCGAACGAGGUCCAUCCUUCGGGAGAAGACCUAGUGGCGAACGGGUGAGUAACACGUGAGGAACCUGCCCCGAAGACCGGGAUAACCCUCCGAAAGGAGAGCUAAUACCGGAUACCCCCACCGAACCGCAUGGUUUGGUGAGGAAAUGGAUUCCGCUUCGGGAGGGCCUCGCGGCCUAUCAGCUAGUUGGUGGGGUAACGGCCCACCAAGGCAUCGACGGGUAGCUGGUCUGAGAGGACGAUCAGCCACACUGGGACUGAGACACGGCCCAGACUCCUACGGGAGGCAGCAGUGGGGAAUCUUGCGCAAUGGGCGAAAGCCUGACGCAGCAACGCCGCGUGGGGGAUGAAGGCUCUCGGGUUGUAAACCCCUUUCAGCAGGGACGAAUCAAGACGGUACCUGCAGAAGAAGCCCCGGCUAACUACGUG
rnacentral:rRNA from 1 species